UACAGAGGUCCCGAGCGUUGUUCGGAUUCACUGGGCGUAAAGGGUGCGUAGGUGGCAGGGUAAGUUUGAUGUGAAAUCUCCGGGCUUAACCCCGGAAACUGCAUUGAAUACUAUCCUACUUGAGGGUUGGAGGGGGGGACUGGAAUUCUCGGUGUAGCAGUGAAAUGCGUAGAUAUCAGAGGAACACCAGUGGCGAAGGCGGCUCACUGGACCACAACUGACGCUGAGGCGCGAAAGCUAGGGGGAGCAAACAGG
rnacentral:rRNA from 1 species